GUGAAUUUUAGGGUGCCUUCUCGCUAUUCUCUCUUUAACUGGAGAUAGCGUCAGAGGGGCCUGACCUCCACUUUCUACCCUGUGCACUAUUUCUAAAGGUCGAAUUCGAGAAAUGAGCCUUCACGGGCUCGGCUCUUGUCUUCGCCUUUUCAAUUUUAUAAACACAAAGUCAAAGAAUGUAUUAAAAUCAUAACAAAAA
rnacentral:misc_RNA from 1 species